GACUAAGCCAUGCGAGUCAUGGGGCGCGCUCUGCGCGCACCGGCGGACGGCUCAGUAACACGUCGGUAACCUACCCUCGGGAGGGGGAUAACCCCGGGAAACUGGGGCUAAUCCCCCAUAGGCCUGAGGUACUGGAAGGUCCUCAGGCCGAAAGGGGCAUCUGCCCGCCCGAGGAUGGGCCGGCGGCCGAUUAGGUAGUUGGUGGGGUAACGGCCCACCAAGCCGAAGAUCGGUACGGGCCAUGAGAGUGGGAGCCCGGAGAUGGACACUGAGACACGGGUCCAGGCCCUACGGGGCGCAGCAGGCGCGAAACCUCCGCAAUGCGGGCAACCGCGACGGGGGGACCCCCAGUGCCGUGGCAUCGCCACGGCUUUUCCGGAGUGUAAAAAGCUCCGGGAAUAAGGGCUGGGCAAGGCCGGUGGCAGCCGCCGCGGUAAUACCGGCGGCCCGAGUGGUGGCCGCUAUUAUUGGGCCUAAAGCGUCCGUAGCCGGGCCCGUAAGUCCCUGGCGAAAUCCCACGGCUCAACCGUGGGGCUUGCUGGGGAUACUGCGGGCCUUGGGACCGGGAGAGGCCGGGGGUACCCCUGGGGUAGGGGUGAAAUCCUAUAAUCCCAGGGGGACCGCCAGUGGCGAAGGCGCCCGGCUGGAACGGGUCCGACGGUGAGGGACGAAGGCCAGGGGAGCGAACCGGAUUAGAUACCCGGGUAGUCCUGGCUGUAAAGGAUGCGGGCUAGGUGUCGGGCGAGCUUCGAGCUCGCCCGGUGCCGAAGGGAAGCCGUUAAGCCCGCCGCCUGGGGAGUACGGCCGCAAGGCUGAAACUUAAAGGAAUUGGCGGGGGAGCAUACAAGGGUGGAGCUGCG
rnacentral:rRNA from 1 species